rnacentral:tRNA from 1 species
GGGAAGGUAGCUCAGUGGUAGAGUGCUUGCCUUGCAUGCAUGAGGCACUGGGUUCAUUUCCU